ensembl:ncRNA lncRNA:CR44893 long non-coding RNA:CR44893
UAAUACCUCGUCUUCACUGGGUAUUCGGAAGUUGUCACGCCCUUUUUUUUUGUUGCAAAAUCUCUGUAUGUUUUGUUUUGUUGUGUUUCGCAGGCUUUGCAGUGGCCUUUGUUACCGCUGACUGUCUGUCUGUCUGUCUGUCUGUGUGUUUGCAGCUCCUCUGUCCGCCGAUCGACAGCCGCACAUCCACAGCCACCACAUCCAAUGGAUGGCCGAUUGGUCGACUGGAUGCAUUGCAGCAUGCGCCCAUGCGCCGUACACUCCACUAUACAACUGGCGAUCGCUUCGGAAAAGGGCCUCUGGCCUCAGGAUUUGUGGAACGGAGGAUUGGGAGCAACGGAAGGCGAAGGAGAGGCUGGCACAAUGCAACAGGGAACAUGGAGCAUGGAGCAUGGUGCAUGGUGCAUGGAUUAUGGAUUAUGGAGAUGGCCAUAGUCGGGUUAAGCCCUGCUAAAUGGAAGGAACGGGCCACGCCCACACCGUG